rnacentral:rRNA from 1 species
UACAGAGGAUGCAAGCGUUAUCCGGAAUGAUUGGGCGUAAAGCGUCUGUAGGUGGCUUUUUAAGUCCGCCGUCAAAUCCCAGGGCUCAACUCUGGACAGGCGGUGGAAACUACCAAGCUUGAGUACGGUAGGGCAGAGGGAAUUUCCGGUGGAGCGGUGAAAUGCGUAGAGAUCGGAAAGAACACCAACGGCGAAGGCGGCGCUCUGGGCCGGAACUGACGCUGAGGAGCGAAAGCGUGGGUAGCAAACAGG